rnacentral:rRNA from 1 species
CCGGCMMUAUUGCGCAAUGGAGGGCACUCUGACGCAGUGACGCCGCGUAUAGGAAGAAGGUUUUCGGAUUGUAAACUAUUUUAGUCAGUGAGGAAGAUGACAGUAGCUGAAGAAUAAGCCCCUGCAAACUACGUG